rnacentral:rRNA from 1 species
UGCGGCGGAUUAGGUAGUUGGUGGGGUAACGGCCUACCAAGCCGAUGAUCCGUAGGGGGCGUGAGAGCGUGGCCCCCCACACUGGCACUGAGACACGGGCCAGACUCCUACGGGAGGCAGCAGUGAGGAAUAUUGCACAAUGGGCGCAAGCCUGAUGCAGCAACGCCGCGUGAGGGACGAAGGCCUUCGGGUUGUAAACCUCUUUUCUGAGGGACGAGGAAGGACGGUACCUCAGGAAUAAGUCUCGGCUAACUACGUGCCAGCAGCCGCGGUAAAACGUAGGGGGCGAGCGUUAUCCGGAUUUACUGGGCGUAAAGCGCGCGCAGGUGGCUUCGUGAGUCGGACAUGAAAGCUCCUGGCUUAACUGGGAGAGGCUGUUCGAUACUGCGGGGCUUGAGGUUGGGAGAGGGACGCGGAAUUCCCGGUGUAGUGGUGGAAUGCGUAGAUAUCGGGAGGAACACCAGUGGCGCAAGCGGCGUCCUGGCCCACACCUGACGCUGAGGUGCGAAAGCGUGGGUAGCAAACAGGAUUAGAUACCCUGGUAGUCCACGCUGUAAACGAUGUCAACUGGGUGUCGGUAGUUUUACACUAUCGGUGCCGAAGCUAACGCG